rnacentral:rRNA from 1 species
CAGUAGCCGCGGUAAUACGUAGGGUGCGAGCGCUAAUCGGAAUUACUGGGCGUAAAGCGUGCGCAGGCGGUUGUGUAAGACAGGUGUGAAAUCCCCGGGCUUAACCUGGGAACUGCGCUUGUGACUGCACAGCUAGAGUAUGGCAGAGGGGGGUGGAAUUCCACGUGUAGCAGUGAAAUGCGUAGAGAUGUGGAGGAACACCGAUGGCGAAGGCAGCCCCCUGGGCCAAUACUGACGCUCAUGCACGAAAGCGUGGGGAGCAAACAGGAUUAGAGACCCCUGUAGUCCCUGUCUCUUAUAA